GUCCUGCCUGCCCGGUGAUCUUUUGAUUAAACGGCUGCGGUACUCUGACCGUGCAAAGGUAGCAUAAUCAUUUGCCUGUUAAUUCCAGGCUGGAAUCAAUGGCUAGACGAAGAAAAUUCUGUCUCUUUUUGUAAAUUUAGAAUUUAGUAUUUUGGUGAAGAAACCAAAAUGUAAAAGUGGGACGAGAAGACCCUAUUGAGCUUUAAUUCUUUUCUUAUUAUAAAAAUUAGUCAAGAAUUUUAGUUGGGGCAACUUAUUUUUUAUUAAGACAAAAAUAAUUACAAAUUAUUUAAAUAUAUAAUUGAUCCACAAUAGUUGUGAUAAAAAGAAAAAGUUACCAUAGGGAUAACAGCGUAAUUUUCUUUGAGAGUACUUAUUGACAAGAAAGUUUGCGACCUCGAUGUUGGAUCAAGAUUUCCUGAAGGUGCAGCCGUUUUCAAGGGUAGGUUUGUUCAACCUAUAAA
rnacentral:rRNA from 1 species